AUACGUAGGGAGCGAGCGUUGUCCGGAAUUACUGGGUGUAAAGGGAGCGUAGGCGGGAGUGCAAGUCAGAUGUGAAAUACAUGGGCUCAACCCAUGGGCUGCAUUUGAAACUGCAUUUCUUGAGUGAAGUAGAGGUAAGCGGAAUUCCUGGUGUAGCGGUGAAAUGCGUAGAUAUCAGGAGGAACACCGGUGGCGAAGGCGGCUUACUGGGCUUAUACUGACGCUGAGGCUCGAAAGCGUGGGGAGCAAACAGGAUGAGAUACCCUGGUAGUCCACGCUGUAAACGAUGAUUACUAGGUGUGGGGGGACUGACCCCUUCCGUGCCGCAGUUAACACAAUAAGUAAUCCACCUGGGGAGUACGGCCGCAAGGUUGAAACUCAAAGGAAUUGACGGGG
rnacentral:rRNA from 1 species